rnacentral:rRNA from 1 species
GAUGAACGCUGGCGGCGUGCCUAAUACAUGCAAGUCGAGCGAACAGACGAGGAGCUUGCUCCUCUGACGUUAGCGGCGGACGGGUGAGUAACACGUGGAUAACCUACCUAUAAGACUGGGAUAACUUCGGGAAACCGGAGCUAAUACCGGAUAAUAUAUUGAACCGCAUGGUUCAAUAGUGAAAGACGGUUUUGCUGUCACUUAUAGAUGGAUCCGCGCCGCAUUAGCUAGUUGGUAAGGUAACGGCUUACCAAGGCGACGAUGCGUAGCCGACCUGAGAGGGUGAUCGGCCACACUGGAACUGAGACACGGUCCAGACGCCUACGGGAGGCAGCAGUAGGGAACCUUCCGCAAUGGGCGAAAGCCUGACGGAGCAACGCCGCGUGAGUGAUGAAGAUCUUCGGAUCGUAAAACUCUGUUAUUAGGGAAGAACAAAUGUGUAAGUAACUAUGCACGUCUUGACGGUACCUAAUCAGAAAGCCACGGCUAACUACGUG